AUACGGAGGAUGCGAGCGUUAUCCGGAUUUAUUGGGUUUAAAGGGAGCGUAGGCGGGAGCUUAAGUCAGCGGUUAAAUGGUGCGGCUCAACCGUGCCCUGCCGUUGAAGCUGGGUUUCUUGAGAGUGCAAGAGGCGGAUGGAAUUCAUGGUGUAGCGGUGAAAUGCUUAGAUAUCAUGAAGAACUCCGAUUGCGAAGGCAGUCCGCUGGGGCACGUCUGACGCUGAUGCUCGAAGGUGCGGGAAUCGAACAGGAUUAGAUACCCUGGUAGUCCGCACGGUAAACGAUGAUUACCCGCUGUCGGCGGCAGACAGUCGGCGGCCAAGCGAAAGCGAUAAGUAAUCCACCUGGGGAGUACGCCGGCAACGGUGAAACUCAAAUGAAUUGACGGGG
rnacentral:rRNA from 1 species